AGCGAACGCUGGCGGCAGGCCUAAAACAUGCAAGUCGAACGGAUCCUUCGGGAUUAGUGGCGGACGGGUGAGUAACACGUGGGAACGUGCCUUUUGGUUCGGAACAACUCAGGGAAACUUGAGCUAAUACCGAAUGUGCCCUUCGGGGGAAAGAUUUAUCGCCAUUAGGGCGGCCCGCGUCUGAUUAGCUUGUUGGUGAGGUAAAGGCUCACCAAGGCGACGAUCAGUAGCUGGUCUGAGAGGAUGAUCAGCCACACUGGGACUGAGACACGGCCCAGACUCCUACGGGAGGCAGCAGUUAGGAAUCUUGCGCAAUGGGGGAAACCCUGACGCAGCCAUGCCGCGUGAAUGAUGAAGGUCUUAGGAUUGUAAAAUUCUUUCAGCGGGGACGAUAAUGACGGUACCCGCAGAAGAAGCCCCGGCUAACUCGUG
rnacentral:rRNA from 1 species